UUCUGGCCUCUUCGGGUAUUGAUUAUGAUAUAAAAAUUUGGUCGCCAUUGGAAGAAUCCAAGAUUUUUAACAGAAAACUUGCAGACGAGGUUAUAACACGUAAUGAAUUAAUGCUGGAAGAAACCAGAAAUACUAUUACUGUUCCAGCUUCUUUUAUGUUAAGAAUGUUGGCUUCAUUGAAUCAUAUAAGAGCAGACCGAUUGGAAGGUGACAGAUCAGAAGGAUCUGGUCAGGAGAAUGAAAAUGAAGAUGAAGAAUGACUGCCAAUUGUGUGCAAGCACCUAGACAUUAACAGAAUUUGUAUAAGACAUUAAUUAUAUUUUUCCUUACAGAGCUUUACUGUAAUUAAAGGUAUUGCUUUUGGAUAACCUAACCUUUUGUUUUUGGAUGACUGUGUGCAUGACUUUGGGAGAGUGUGCAAGUAAAAUAAGCAAAAAAGUUUUUAAAAUGUUCUGCCAUGUACGGGGGGUACCAGAAGAUGCAAAGUGCAAUAUUUUCCUUAACCUGCAAAUGUGGGAGCUCGGAUCAAUGUUUUAAAGUAACUCUCAUUGUAGUAAAACGUUGGUUGAAAUAAAUUUCUAUACCUGCUGUUUGCAUGUUUGUUGCUUUCUAAUUAAAAGAUUUGGUUGUUUUAAGUA